rnacentral:lncRNA from 1 species
CUUAGAGAAGCGAAGAGACAGAGAUGCUGAGAGGAAGAGAGAAUUCCCCGGGUCUGAGUUACCUUUGAUGGGAGAGGCUCAGCAAUGAGUGGACAGGCUGUCUCUGACAGAAGAAUACAGUUCAUCAAAAGUGUCUGCAGGUUGUCAAACUCAGGGAGGUUUGGGGACCCUCUGCGGCUGUCAUGGUCAACAAGAAGAUUUUCUGUCGGGCUCCUCCAUCACUCACCCUGAGGAAAUAAUCACUCACUACAUUCUGCAUGUUCUCAUGAUGGAGCUCUCCAUUUGAGAGAAAAGAGCCAUUUUAUCAAAGGACAAUAUAGCCCUUCUCUGGGUCCACGUAGCUUCCAUUAUCAGACCAUAAUAAAUCAUAUUUAUGU